AUUGAACGCUGGCGGCAGGCCUAACACAUGCAAGUCGAGCGAGCGGCGGACGGGUGAGUACUGUAUGGGGACUGCCCGAUAGAGGGGGCGAACUGCUGGAAACGGUAGCUAAUACUGCAUACUAUCGGAUAACGCUGAUGUGAUUAGCUGGUGGGUGAGGUAAUGGCCCACCUAGGCGACGAUCCCUAGCUGGUCUGAGAGGAUGAUCAGCCACACUGUGACGGAGACACGGCCCAGACUCCUACGGAGGCAGCAGUGGGGAAUAUUGCACAAUGGGCGCAAGCCUGAUGCAGCCAUGCCGCGUGUAUGAAGAAGGCCCUAGGGUUGUAAAGUACUUUCAGUCGGGAGGCGUUACCGACAGAAGAAGCACCGGCUAACUCCGUGCCAGCAGCCGCGGUAAUUC
rnacentral:rRNA from 1 species